rnacentral:rRNA from 1 species
UACGUAGGUGGCAAGCGUUACUCGGAUUCAUUGGGCGUAAAGGGUGCGUAGGUGGCGUGGUAAGUCGGGUGUGAAAUUUCGGAGCUUAACUCCGAAACUGCAUUCGAUACUGCCGUGCUUGAGGACUGGAGAGGAGACUGGAAUUUACGGUGUAGCAGUGAAAUGCGUAGAGAUCGUAAGGAAGACCAGUGGCGAAGGCGGGUCUCUGGACAGUUCCUGACACUGAGGCACGAAGGCCAGGGGAGCAAACGGG